GUAACAAGGUCUCCGUUGGUGAACCAGCGGAGGGAUCAUUACUGAGUUACCGCUCUAUAACCCUUUGUGAACAUACCUAACUGUUGCUUCGGCGGGCAGGGGGUGCCGCCUGCGGACCCCCCUCCCGGCCCUGCCCUCACGGGCGGAGCGCCCGCCGGAGGAUACCAAACUCUAUUUUAACGACGUUUCUUCUGAGUGGCACAAGCAAAUAAUUAAAACUUUCAACAACGGAUCUCUUGGUUCUGGCAUCGAUGAAGAACGCAGCGAAAUGCGAUAAGUAAUGUGAAUUGCAGAAUUCAGUGAAUCAUCGAAUCUUUGAACGCACAUUGCGCCCGCCAGCAUUCUGGCGGGCAUGCCUGUUCGAGCGUCAUUUCAACCCUCAAGCUCUGCUUGGUGUUGGGGCCCUACGGUUGACGUAGGCCCUUAAAGGUAGUGGCGGACCCUCUCGGAGCCUCCUUUGCGUAGUAACUAACGUCUCGCACUGGGAUUCGGAGGGACUCUUGCCGUAAAACCCCCAAAUUUUUAAAGGUUGACCUCGGAUCAGGUAGGAAUACCCGCUGAACUUAAGCAUAUCAAUAAGCCGGAGGAACCU
rnacentral:rRNA from 1 species